rnacentral:rRNA from 1 species
UACAGAGGUGCGAGCGUUAAUCGGAAUUACUGGGCGUAAAGCGCGCGUAGGUGGUUCAGCAAGUUGGAUGUGAAAGCCCCGGGCUCAACCUGGGAACUGCACCCAAACUACUGGGCUAGAGUAUGGUAGAGGGUGGUGGAAUUUCCUGUGUAGCGGUGAAAUGCGUAGAUAUAGGAAGGAACACCAGUGGCGAAGGCGACCACCUGGACUAAUACUGACACUGAGGUGCGAAAGCGUGGGGAGCAAACAGG